rnacentral:rRNA from 1 species
GACGAACGCUGGCGGCGUGCCUAAUACAUGCAAGUAGAACGCACAGUUUAUACCGUAGCUUGCUACACCAUAGACUGUGAGUUGCGAACGGGUGAGUAACGCGUAGGUAACCUGCCUGGUAGCGGGGGAUAACUAUUGGAAACGAUAGCUAAUACCGCAUAAUAUUGAUUAUUGCAUGAUAAUUAAUUGAAAGGUGCAAUUGCACCACUACCAGAUGGACCUGCGUUGUAUUAGCUAGUAGGUGAGGUAACGGCUCACCUAGGCGACGAUACAUAGCCGACCUGAGGGGGUGGUCGGCCACACUGGGACUGAGACCCGGCCCAGACUCCUACGGGAGGCAGCAGUAGGGAAUCUUCGGCAAUGGACGAAAGUCUGACCGAGCAACGCCGCGUGAGUGAAGAAGGGUUUCGGAUCGUAAAGCUCUGUUGUAAGAGAAGAACGGGUGUGAGAGUGGAAAGUUCACACUGUGACGGUAUCUUACCAGAAAGGGACGGCUAACUACGUG